GUGAGGUGAGCGCCCGCUCCUGCCAUGGCGGCGCUGCGGGACGUCUUUCGGCGGCCUUUCGGCGGCCCGCUCGCGGUGGGUUUCAGUUCCCCGGGCAGCGAGCCGACGGCAGCGGUGGUGUCCGUCAGCGCCUGUCCUGCGCCCCCGGCCUGCCGAAGAUCCCUUUGGAAGCGAAAAAACUGCUUUGAAGCAUCUAGGGGAAGCAGGCGGGAAUUUACUAUAAAUUUCUCACAGGUACAGCAGCUCUACAGAAGCAGCUUAAUUUCCCCCCGGCCGGCUGCAGGCAGUCAGCACAGCCACUCACCUCCGCGAGGCGCUGCCCCCCGAGCUCUGCUGCUGGCCGCGCUCGGUGCGGGACACGCGGUGCAGAAAGUGCCAUUUAGGAGUCUGCGCCAUACGGAUCGCGGGGCCAUUAUAAAGCCGGGCUGUGUCUGUGCUGUGCAUUCUCUGAGCUUGUUGGAGUGUGUUUGUUCACCUUUCUGUUUCGAGCGGUAGUGCGAAAAUCAUCGUUAACUUCAACACGCAUAAUUUGUGUUUCCUUUUCAGACCCUUUGUGGCGUAUCAUAAUGCUGGCCAAUCUCGUAUUUUUUCUUUGCCUGGCUAUUAAUGCUGCUUCUUAGCUUCUUCUCAUUCUCUAGUCAUACACGAUCCUGCCCCUCUGUGCUGUGGGGCCUCACCUGGAGUACUGCUUACAGAUGUGGAGUCCUCAGUACAGGAGAGACACGGACCUGUUGGAGGGUGUCCAGAGGAGGGCCACAAAAAUAAUCCCAGGGAUGGAACACCUCUCCUGUGAGGACAGGCUGGGAGAGCUGGGGCUGUUCAGCCUGGAGAAGGCACUGGGGAAACCUGAGAGUGGUCUUUCAGUAUCUAAAGGGGGGCUGUAAGAAGGAAGGGGACAGACUUUUUAGUAGGGUCUGUUGUGAAUUGGAAUUUCACACUUGGAAUUUCAUCACCCCAAUAGAAAUCAGGAGAGGGAAAUUGGUUUUGUGUGCCUCUGCAGAUAGGUCAGCAGUGGACAGGACCCAGUGACAGACAUAGAAGAGUUUGGUGCUUCUGACAACAGUGGAGCGUCGCUGAGGAUCCCAGAGCUGUGACUGCAGUUUUCCAAUUCGCAGGCUGUCUUGGCAGUAGAGGAAAUGUGAAGAAGAGCUAUGUGUCAUUUGAAUAGUGCUGUCAUCUUACCAAUUACUACUAUAGCUGCUGUACACAGGUGUUGCAAGGUCAUACCUUCACCCAUCCGAGGCAAAGACAUGAUGUUAUCUGCCUGAAAAUAUCUGUCUGGGCAAUCCUUCAACGAGACUUCUCCCACACAUCAAUCCAACUUUCUUUUUUCUCCUGUAACUUCUUGCUUCUUUCAUGUUGCACAAGAGGUUCCCUAAAACAUUAAUUUUUCCUCCUCCAGAUUCCUACACUUGAAUUGAAUAGAAUUUGGAGUGGUAUGAAGUGCCUCACACAGAGAAGAACCAGCAUUUUGAAGGACCUGCAGGUGCUGCUACCUGAAGGUUAGUUUAACAACUGAAAAUACUCUAUCGUGAAUGGCCUCAAUAUAUCAUUCAGGUGGUAUUCUUAAAAUUAUAUUUUAAUCUCAAUUAAAAUGUGAAUAUCAGUUAUUUAAUGCAACCUAAAGGAAGUUUGUUUUGUUGAAAAAAAAAAAAAAAUGAUGAUCAGCCAUAGUUCUGGCCUGUAAUAAGUUCAAGUGUAUGAUGGCUUCCUGUGCUCAGGCUCACCAGGAAGGGGAAUCAGGACAGCGCACGUUGGCAGGUGGGAGUGUAAAUCCGGGUAGGAGGAGAACUCGUGUCAGGAGUGUGUCAAAUCAAUCUCUUCCAAGCGGGAUCCUCAAAAACCUAAAGGUUCAAAUUUGAAGUGUAUUCCACUCUGUGGAAAAAAAUAAUAAAUGAGAGCAUCAAUAUCUGCACUCUUCAGCUUUAAGCCUCCCAGGGGUACAGGCAAUCAGGCUGAUAAGUUGUAAUUUCACACCCUUUGCACCAGCUGCACUUAACUCAUCUGAUUUUUACCUAUGUCACCAGUAGCACCGCAGGGAAUUAGAAUGAGAGAACUAUUAAAAGCCUAAUGUAUUUUUUUGUAUGUAGGUUGUUUGCAUUUCUAAUGCCUAUUUUGAAGCCUUGUGUGAAGUCGAAAGUGGAGGUGAUAAUUCAUUAGCAAGCAAAAUCUAGAAGUAAGGUAUUAUGAAAAAAAAACCUUUUAUGGAGGGAAGACGGAGAACUUAAUGCUCAAGGUAAACAGUUUCAAUUAGGAAGUUCUUUGAAGUAUGAUGAGAGCAGUCCAAAAAGAAUCAUACAGACUGCCAAAAUAAAGACCGAAAAACAUUGAAAUUUAUGGAGCUUUUAAGGGCCAUUAACUUGAAGGCCGUUGCCUUUCUUUUUUCUUUCCCCCAUUCUAUUUUAAGAAAUGAAAAGGUGUUUAUUUUUCCCUUGGUCAAUUAGUCUGCAAUAGGAGAAAGGUAGAGAGACAUAUUUUGUAGAUGCUCUGAGAAUUUUAGGCAGAGAAAACUCUUCUUCUGACUGAGUUUCUCUCUUAAAAAAAUAAAGUAUAUUAAGAGCUGUAAACAGUCAGGAAUUGUGCUAUACGGAGUAAUUUUAGGUUAGGAAUAUAUGUGUCUAGAAUGUUAGGUAAAACUUUAAUCACUGAAUUUGUGGGGUAACUGUGGAAUACAUUUAUACCUUUUGCUUCUCUGUUAGAAGUUUGGAAGUUAGAUGUCCUGUUGAUGGAAGCUGUUUAGAAGUUAGAUGCCUGAAGCUUGGCAGCACUGCACACAAAACAGGAUGUUGCUGCCCACAGGUCCAGUGUCUCUAUCUUUGAGUGGCAGCAUUUGAUUUUUGCAGGGACAGUAAAGAGCAAGUGUUGCAGGGACUUGGUGUCUGAGCUGGGGGGAUAAUUACAUAUUUCUGCCCCCACCCAUAAUUAUCUCAGGAGGCAUUUCACCUCCAGGGUUUGGAAGACCUUUCUGUGUACUUGCGCUAGCACAGUGUGGAUGGGAAGAGGAAAACAACCAAGGCAGCCUGCACACAGAGCCUGAAUUAUUACCUGCCAGUGGGGCCAGCAGCUCUCACUGCUCUCCCAAGGCUGCAGAGCAGCAGGGAUGCUGCAUGGUGCUGGGUGGGACCACCUCCUGCAGCACGGCUGCUGCCUCACAUGGAGGGGGUAGGGGGGGGCGAAGCAGGACACUGCAAAGAUGGAGGGAGAAAAUGAGCUGUGCUGCUGCUGUGUGUGUGCCUGCCAGCCCUGGCCAUGCCUGCUGUCACACUUGGUUUUCCGUAAAAUUUGAUUGUUUUUGAUCACCGUUAUUGGUGUGAAAUGUUGUACCCUAAUAAGCUACCAGCAAAAUGCCUGUUGUCCUUAGCCCAACUGGAUCUAGCCAUUUAAAAUGCUUUAGAAGUCACAGCAUAAAUAUCAAAUGUUGAUAGACGCAAAGAAAUAAACUCUGGCAAUACCUGUGGUAUGCCUUCAACCAUAGUGGUGAAUAACAUUAAAAUCUCACUGCCCAGCACUCGUACCAAAAAUCAGGAUGCCUGUGUUUGGCUCACUUGUAGGCUGUGGCAACAUCAUAGUGUUCCCUCUUCAUGUGCCUAAUUCUUCACAUAGUUUGAGGACAAUAUGAACCAGAAUACAUGCAGUCCUUCACCUGUCUAUCACUACCUUCUUUCCUGCUCUCGGGAGAUACUGUUGAUCCUUCUUUCUCUUACAGAUUUGUCCAAACUUGUUAGCACUGGCAAAAGUAAUCUCCAUUUCCUCCUGGCUACUUGACAAAAGGAGGACAACAAACUUCUCUCUGCUGACUAGGAAUACAGUAAACAUUCAUGAUUUCAAGUAUGGUGAUAAGAGCGUAUUGCACCACAGUGCCAUCUCAUAGCAGUUUGUUCAGCUGAGCAUUCACUGGGCCAGCACAUCACCACUGUCAGCAUGCAAAUAAGCUCUCCCAUGCAGCUGAGAAUGAAGGCCAGAAGCCUGAAAAUAACCCAGCAAAGCAUGCCUGUUGUAAGGAAUGAGAGGUACUUGCCAACUUUUAAUCACUGGGCUUAGUGACUGGCAUGACAACAUUUUUCUGAUGGGGAAAUUAUUUACAGGCAGUUGGAAGGUCAGGAGGCUGUCUGAAACACUCAAUGGCAAAAUUAGAGUUAGCCUUUCAGUCAACCAUGUUGCUCAGGUACCUGCUUGGUGUUCCAGUGUUAACGUGCAGUACAUUCGAAGUGCAGCCACCUUCACUGUAUGUUUCAGUGUACAAAAUUACCUUCUAAUUAAGAAAUAAGUGCAGUGGUGGGGAGGAUUCCACUUUGAGUCUCAGCUUGGCUGUGAGACUCAGUGCAAGCCGUGUAGUGGGCUGUUAGAGUGGCUUGCUUGAUUCUGUUUCUUGUGUCAAACGUUUGUCAGUGGUGAUGAUGAAUAGUAGGGAAAAAUACUGAAUAAGCCCUAAGUGAUUAAUUAGAAUAUUAGUUUAGUAUUUCUGCUGCCAGACAGUCAUGCAGUCCCUGGCAUUACUGCAUAAGGUUUAAAAUGUUGAGAGAGGAAGAGGAAUUUCAAAUAUGUUUAUUCUUAUCCAGAUAAUCUCUGAAUUUAAACUCAAUAAAGCUUUUCACCAGAGUGAGAUGUUAACUAGCCAAUACUUUAUUCACACUUCAGUUAAACAACGUUUACCUCUGGUGAAAGGCACCCAAACUGUGCUACUCUGUGCUACCCUGUUUCUGUGGAAACUGUGUGUUGGAGUGGAAUAGGAAUAAUGGUGGAGAAAAGGAGAGCAGUAGCGUUUUGGCUGAAGUCCUGUUGGCCAGCCCCCGUUUCAGCUGGGAUAAGUCAGCCAAGCAAGGCCUCAGUGCUGGAGCCCCGACAGUUCUUUUUCCUCCUCCUCCUAACUUGUGCCGAGGGAGGAGUCUGCUUCACAGACACCAUUCAAAAAGUGCUUGCUAAAGCAAUUUAUCUGUAUUUUCCCCUGGUUUUUCAUGCAACAAGAAUUUUAGCCAGUCAGUAAUGUUAGUCAAUAGCUGCCUACACUGGUAGGGUAAGGUUUGUUCUGAAAAGAACUUCCAUUGACGCGUAUGUUGCUCAGCCACUGCUCUUCUAAAAAGCACCACUGUAUUCUUGGAAAGAAACUCUCCCAAAACUGAAAAGACACAUUUUUCAUCAUUCAGGGGUUUCCAAAAUAUGCAUAUGUUUGAUGGAUUGCCAGGAAAGACAGACAGCCUUGACCAGUAAACUCAGCUCUGUAUUCUCUCUUCUCUGGUAGCUGUUUCACUGACAUUCAUGUUGUUUUCUCCUGGAAUAAGGUAUCUUUCUUAAAAAUAAAAUAUGAAUUAACAGAAAAAUAUAUUUUAUUGUUUUUUCUGUUGUUAUGAUUUCUGUUAAUCAGUGAUUGCCUGCUACCUGUGUGUGUGAGUCAGAGUGAAAAAUCUAACGUGGUGAAGUUGUGAUUGAUGUCUUAAUACUGUAGAAGUAUCUGGUAGGGGUGGGGGUCUAUUUCUUCCACAUACACACAAAAAAUGACUGGCUUCUGAUUGUAGUCUGAGGCUCUGGACUGGAGGACCAGGGCAUUUUGCUGCCUAGCCUCAGUAUACACAUAUUGCUACAGAGGACCGAAAGGCAUUGUGCAGCACUCAUGGUAACCAACAUUCUGUAAAGAAUUCUAAAUCACUGCAGGAGAGGAGACAACAGAAAAAGCCGUUUGCAAGAAUGGAGAGUAUGGGAGAAAAUCAAUUAAGGAAACAGCAUUAUCUUUUCAAAUUCAGGUGUAAGUGUGUGCAGACCCAAGAAUUUCAACAGUUUCUUACAGGUGGAAGCUAAAGGGAAGAGCCUAGAUCAUGGUGAUGUUGGCUGUACAUGUUCGUGCUUCUGUGUGGAAUCAGGGACACCUGCUUCUUGGUCUGCUGCUGCUUCAGCUUCUUGGUG
ensembl:lncRNA